AGCUAACGUUUGCGGCGGGCCUAACACAUGCAAGUCGAACGCACUAGCAAUAGUGAGUGGCGCACGGGUGCGUAACACGUGGGUAAUCAACCCUUCAGCUUGGGAUAACGACUUGAAAGGGUCGCUAAUACCGGAUACGGCGCGGGAGGCUUCGGCUUCUCACGAGAAAGCCUCGCAAGGGGCACUGAAGGACGAGCCUG
rnacentral:rRNA from 1 species